AGCAUAUCAAUAAGCGGAGGAAAAGAAACUAACAAGGAUUCCCCUAGUAACUGCGAGUGAAGCGGGAAAAGCUCAAAUUUAAAAUCUGUCAGCCCUUUGGCUGUCCGAGUUGUAAUCUAGAGAAGUGUUAUCUGCGCUGGACCGUGUACAAGUCUCCUGGAAUGGAGCGUCAUAGAGGGUGAGAAUCCCGUCUUUGACACGGACUGCCAGGGCUUUGUGAUGCGCUCUCAAAGAGUCGAGUUGUUUGGGAAUGCAGCUCAAAAUGGGUGGUAAAUUCCAUCUAAAGCUAAAUAUUGGCGAGAGACCGAUAGCGAACAAGUACCGUGAGGGAAAGAUGAAAAGAACUUUGGAAAGAGAGUUAAACAGUACGUGAAAUUGCUGAAAGGGAAACGCUUGAAGUCAGUCACGUUGUCCAGGGAUCAACCUUGCUUUUGCUUGGUGUACUUUUCUGGUUAACGGGUCAGCAUCAAUUUUGACUGUUGGAAAAAAGUCAGGGGAAUGUGACAUCUUCGGAUGUGUUAUAGCCCUUGGUUGCAUACAAUGGUUGGGAUUGAGGAACUCAGCAUGCCGCAAGGCCGGGUAAUUUUACCACGUACGUGCUUAGGAUGCUGGCAUAAUGGCUUUAAUCGACCCGUCUUGAAACACGGACCAAGGAGUCUAACAUACCUGCGAGUGUUUGGGUGGAAAACCCGAGCGCGCAAUGAAAGUGAAAGUUGAGAUCCCUGUCAUGGGGAGCAUCGACGCCCGGACCAGACCUUUUGUGACGGUUCCGCGGUAGAGCAUGUAUGUUGGGACCCGAAAGAUGGUGAACUAUGCCUGAAUAGGGUGAAGCCAGAGGAAACUCUGGUGGAGGCUCGUAGCGAUUCUGACGUGCAAAUCGAUCGUCAAAUUUGGGUAUAGGGGCGAAAGACUAAUCGAACCAUCUAGUAGCUGGUUCCUGC
rnacentral:rRNA from 1 species